GUAGGUGGCAAGCGUUGUCCGGAAUUAUUGGGCGUAAAGCGCGCGCAGGCGGUUCUUUAAGUCUGAUGUGAAAGCCCACGGCUCAACCGUGGAGGGUCAUUGGAAACUGGAGAACUUGAGUACAGAAGAGGAAAGCGGAAUUCCACGUGUAGCGGUGAAAUGCGUAGAGAUGUGGAGGAACACCAGUGGCGAAGGCGGCUUUCUGGUCUGUAACUGACGCUGAGGCGCGAAAGCGUGGGGAGCAAACAGGGAUUAGAUACCCUGGUAGUCCACGCCGUAAACGAUGAGUGCUAAGUGUUAGGGGGGUUUCCGGCCCCCUUAGUGCUGCAGCUAACACAUUAAGCACUCCGCCUGGGGAGUACGGCCGCAAGGCUG
rnacentral:rRNA from 1 species